UUAGGAAGAAGAUUUGAAGCAUUCUACAAUUUAGGAACUCUUAGGAAAUUCUUAGGAAAUCCUAAAAGAACAUUUUCAAUACAAGAACAGGCCUCACCAUACUUGCAUAUAUUCUCAGCUAUACUACAACAAUAAGAAAUGUAAUCAAAGACAGGCAUUGGACUCGAACAUGAGUUUUAUGUGGUGUACUUUCAGAAUUCGCUCAGAAUAAUUAGUACUGCAUUGAAAAGAAAGAUAGGUAGGGUGAUAAUUGUAUAAAAUUCUUAGAUCCGAUUUGAACAUUAUAAAAUCAUAUAUAUUGUUUCUAAUAGAAAUGCUACUUGAGAUUAUAAAAAAAGAAGUCCCGCUUUGCAGAUAGAAGACGGCUCACCAGGGCCCGUAAAAGCAAAAUGUACCGGGCGUCCCUCGCUUUAGUGGCCGAGAGGGGCUUGGGCCCAAGGCGCAAAAUCAUAACGGCCGAACGAAAGCCAUUAUCACAGCCUCCAAACGGAUAGCCGUUUAUUCCCGUCUUUUCUACGCGUAAUUCACCUUUUUUAAGGAUUUGAUGGCAGAAAAUGGAUUGAAGUAAAAGGACAUUAUGAUAGAGAUAGUAAAAUGUGUUCGAGUUGCAAAGCCAGAAAAGAAAGAAGUUGGAGGUAUAAGGAAUGUAUCAAUUCGUAAAUCGCAAGAAACGAAUAAAAACUUCGUAAACUUACGUUAUUCACUAAUCACUGUACUUACAUCUAAAGCGCCUAUGCUUUAUAAACUGUUACUUGAAGCACAAAAUUGAAUAACUUAGCUUAGUAAAAACCUAGUAAUCAGUCUUGCACCUAAAAUUUGUCCAGAUAUUUAUUUUGAAUAUCUAAUGUUACUGUAGUUGGUUUUUGUCCGUAUAUUCUGAUCACAGUAAACCCUGCAUAUGAAGAACCUAGCUAUCUUUUCAAGCUAGCCUACCAGGUUCAAAUUUAAAUGGUGCAUAUAGAGGCAUUAGGCUUCUAGCUUCUUAUCUGAAUGUACAAAGAUGGAGGAGGAGGCAGUUCUUUUGGAAAACCGUAAUGACGCCAAAAAGGGUAAUGUUCAAAAGCUGUUAAAGUUGUUAUA